GACGAACGCUAGCGGCGUGCCUAAGGUAUGCAAGUCGAACGCAUCGCAAGAUGAGUGGCAGACGGGUGAGUAACGCGUGGGAACAUACCCUCUUCUACGGAAUAGCCCUGGGAAACUGGAAUUAAUACCGUAUACGCCCUACGGGGGAAAGAUUUAUCGGGGAAGGAUUGGCCCGCGUUGGAUUAGCUGGUUGGUGGGGUAAAGGCCUACCAAGGCGACGAUCCAUAGCUGGUCUGAGAGGAUGAUCAGCCACAUUGGGACUGAGACACGGCCCAAACUCCUACGGGAGGCAGCAGUGGGGAAUAUUGGACAAUGGGCGCAAGCCUGAUCCAGCCAUGCCGCGUGAGUGAUGAAGGCCUUAGGGUUGUAAAGCUCUUUCACCGAUGAAGAUAAUGACGGUAGUCGGAGAAGAAGCCCCGGCUAACUUCGUGCCAGCCGCCGCAGUAAUAC
rnacentral:rRNA from 1 species